CCCGCCUCCCUGCCCCGCCGGCCGCGGCCGUCGCUCGCCUAGGCACCCGCCCGCACUCGCGCCGCCACCGUCGCCCCCUCUCCUCUUCCUCCCGCCCGUGCCUCACCGCGGCUUCCUCCCGGCUCCUCGUCCGCGGCCUCGACGGCGCCCCCGUGCUCCACCUCGAGGCGCACCAUGCUGGCCGGGCGCGCUACGUGCUCUCCUGCGACACCGGCCGCCGCAUCUGCGUCUUCACCGAGAACGGCACGCGUCCGUCACCCGUGUAGACAGGACUCCUCCUCUUCCCUACCUCGAGGGCACGGAGAUGCUGACGGAGAAGCCCAGCUGGGUUCACCAUGACGGCCUGCAGAUCUUCUCCAUCAACAUCCAGCCGAGCGGCCUCCGCUUCGCCACGGGAGGUGGUGACCAGAAGUACUAGGAACCUGUUAUUUGGUGGCACUCUUUGGUCAAGCUUGAAAUUUUUUGGGGCUCAAGCCUACCGUUCUUAUGAUGGUAACUGGGCCAUUUUUCUUACUAAUGGAAGAGUAGGAGGCAGAGAGGGAGAUGGGGUGGUAAGAAGAGAGGGUGAGGAAGGAGGAAGAGGAGAUCCUCCCGGCACUCAUGGUGGUCGCCCAGAUCCUAGUGGGGAUGGCAGUCCAACAUGCUCUGUGUUGUUCUAAAGGGGAACCAUGCCCAUGCGACGGUACCGAACAAAGUUGUGCACGUGGUCGUGGACACUCUACGCGAAAGAAAUUUGUAUAAAUAUACAAUGCUCUUUUUGAAGACUCCUGGGAUGAUAUUGGAAGGAACUCAAGCGGAAGGCCGCCGGACAUGGAAGAAAUGAGCCCAAGCCCAAUCAAUUGGAUGCUUCAGUGGAUUUGAAUGGGGUUCAUUGUAGGCGAGUGCUUGAAUUUGCGGCCUCACAUGCAUCAUUAGCUUCCCUUAUCCCACACAAGUAUUCUUCGUGAGAACUAUGCUUAGAUAGCUGAAUGUAUUAUUGUGAACUACUGAACCUUUGCACUUUUGUUGUAACAUACUGAACAUUUGCACCAUUGCUUUUCAUUGUAUAAAUGUAUGAAAUAAAAAAAAUGUCUCAUACCAGGUUGAAUAUUGCGGGGGCGGGUGGGGUGCGGCAAAGAUUAAUAUGCAUAAAGUGUGAGGUGUACAGAAACCUGCACCUUAUACUCCUGUCUUGCUUUUGCUAACUAUAUGAAAUAGACUGAACCUGAACCUGACUACAAUUUAAUGUCUAAGCUGAAUUGUUGCAUCCGUAGACAUGGAAUUAUGGAUCAAUUUUAUCUCUCAAGAACUGCAUACUUAUGGUCCUAUGCAAUCCCAAUUUAUUCAGGCAAGCAUCCCAAAAGUUCACUAAUGAACAAAGCAACAUCACACAGAAUCUAAGUUUUAGGCCAGGUUACUGUAAUGUAUUUUUAAAGAUGUACAUUAGAGAAAUUGUUCAGCCAACAAUCCAAUUAAAUUUGUGUGCAGCUAUAUAUAUAUUUACUAAUCAAUCUUUUCCCUUCUCUCUAUCUAAUUUUAACAUUGCACAAUGAUUUACUCCUUGUUUGUAGCUUACACUGAAAUCUAAGCUUGUGUGCAUGUAUGUAUUAUGAACCAGCCCUGUCCAUUGCCUUACUGGAUACAUAAGUCUCUCCAUUGUUGUUGUCGGAUGGGUUUAUGUUUGCUGUUGUCGGAUGGGUUUAUGUUUGCUAUUAUUUUCUGUCUUGGUUAGGAACCAUGUGCUAUAAUGCACCAAUGCUGCUUUCGGAUGACAACGACAAUGCCAAACGCACCAUCACCUGAGAUGAUUGGUGGGCAGAAUUAAAGAGGGAUUACCAAGUAAGGAAAUACACCCGAGCAAGCAGCUAGACCCAAGCGGAGUUUUAAAAUCAAAACGGGGCAAUUCUCUACUGUGACAAAGUGAAGAGAAAACCGAUGCAUCAAAUUAAUACAGAAAUCCAGUUCAUAUGAAGCAGAAGAAAGGCAUACAGUACAUUACAUUGACAGUGAUUGUUAGCCCAUUGUGGUACUUCAAAUCUGAUAAAGAAUAUAUUUCAUGACCGAGACAUGACAUUUGGAGAAUCUCGGUUCUAAUAUCUACAUGAAUCAACUUUUAUUUUGUCAUGCUACUGAAUGUUCUGAUAUGGGACUACCUAUUCUGUGUAUCUCUUAUAUUAUGUUGUCGAUGAUGCAUGGUUCUUGAAUUUGGAGAUUAACAUUUAGGCUUUUGAUAUUUUGAACCUUUUUGCUUUGUACUAAACUUGAUGCAAACCAGUUUGUCUUAUCUGGCACUGCCA